rnacentral:rRNA from 1 species
CCUACGGGAGGCAGCAGUGAGGAAUAUUGGUCAAUGGGCGAGAGCCUGAACCAGCCAAGUCGCGUGAAGGAUGACGGCCCUACGGGUUGUAAACUUCUUUUGUCAGGGAGCAAUUGGGUCCACGCGUGGGCUUAGCGAGCGUACCUGAAGAAAAAGAAUCGGCUAACUCCGUGCCAGCAGCGGCGGUAAUACGGAGGUUGCGAGCUGUAUCCGGAUUUAUUGGGUUUAAAGGGUGCGUAGGCGUAAUAUCAAGUCGUCGGUAAAACUUCGGGUCUCAACCCCGUCGUGCCGUUGAAACUGAUGUUCUUGAGUGGGCGAGAAGUAUGCGGAAUGCGUGGUGUAGCGGUGAAAUGCAUAGAUAUCACGCAGAACUCCGAUUGCGAAGGCAGCAUACCGGCGCCCAACUGACGCUGAAGCACGAAAGCGUGGGUAUCGAACAGGAUUAGAUACCCCUGUAGUC